AACGAACGCUGGCGGCGUGCUUAACACAUGCAAGUCGAACGCGAACGGGUUCUUCGGAACCUCAGUAGAGUGGCGCACGGGUGAGUAACGCGUAAGUAAUCUACCCUCGCAUUCGGGAUAACCCACCGAAAGGUGUGCUAAUACCGGAUACGUCUAUUUUAAUUCAUUUUUUAUAGAGAAAGGUGGCCUCUGAUUCAAGCUACUGUGCGGGGAUGAGCUUGCGUACCAUUAGCUAGUUGGUAGGGUAACGGCCUACCAAGGCGAUGAUGGUUAGCGGGUCUGAGAGGAUGAUCCGCCACACUGGAACUGGAACACGGACCAGACUCCUACGGGAGGCAGCAGUGAGGAAUAUUGCGCAAUGGGGGAAACCCUGACGCAGCGACGCCGCGUGGAUGAUGAAGGCCUUCGGGUUGUAAAAUC
rnacentral:rRNA from 1 species